AGAGUUUGAUCAUGGCUCAGGACGAACGCUGGCGGCGUGCCUAACACAUGCAAGUCGAGCGAUGAAGUUUCCUUCGGGAAAUGGAUUAGCGGCGGACGGGUGAGUAACACGUGGGUAACCUGCCUCAUAGAGGGGAAUAGCCUCCCGAAAGGGAGAUUAAUACCGCAUAAUAUUACAGUUUCGCAUGAAACAGUAAUUAAAGGAGUAAUCCGCUAUGAGAUGGACCCGCGGCGCAUUAGCUAGUUGGUGAGGUAACGGCUCACCAAGGCGACGAUGCGUAGCCGACCUGAGAGGGUGAUCGGCCACAUUGGGACUGAGACACGGCCCAGACUCCUACGGGAGGCAGCAGUGGGGAAUAUUGCACAAUGGGGGAAACCCUGAUGCAGCAACGCCGCGUGAGUGAUGACGGUCUUCGGAUUGUAAAGCUCUGUCUUUGGGGACGAUAAUGACGGUACCCAAGGAGGAAGCCACGGCUAACUACGUGCCAGCAGCCGCGGUAAUACGUAGGUGGCGAGCGUUGUCCGGAUUUACUGGGCGUAAAGGGAGCGUAGGCGGAUUCUUAAGUGGGAUGUGAAAUACCCGGGCUUAACCUGGGUGCUGCAUUCCAAACUGGGAAUCUAGAGUGCAGGAGGGGAGAGUGGAAUUCCUAGUGUAGCGGUGAAAUGCGUAGAGAUUAGGAAGAACACCAGUGGCGAAGGCGACUCUCUGGACUGUAACUGACGCUGAGGCUCGAAAGCGUGGGGAGCAAACAGGAUUAGAUACCCUGAUAGUCCACGCCGUAAACGAUGAAUACUAGGUGUAGGGGUUUCAACACCUCUGUGCCGCGCUAACGCAUUAAGUAUUCCGCCUGGGGAGUACGGUCGCAGAUUAAAACUCAAAGGAAUUGACGG
rnacentral:rRNA from 1 species